AUACUCGGUUUUCUCUUCAGAUCGAAUAAAGCUUUCACCUUUACUAACGAUUUCCGUGGAGAGGAUCAUCCAUAAGUUCUAAAAACUUUUUUGAGGCUCUGCCCCUUGCAGGGCU